rnacentral:rRNA from 1 species
CUACGGGGGGCUGCAGUGGGGAAUAUUGCACAAUGGAGGAAACUCUGAUGCAGCAACGCCGCGUGGAGGAUGACACUUUUCGGAGCGUAAACUCCUUUUAUAUAGGAAGAUAAUGACGGUACUAUAUGAAUAAGCACCGGCUAACUCCGUGCCAGCAGCCGCGGUAAUACGGAGGGUGCAAGCGUUACUCGGAAUCACUGGGCGUAAAGAGCGUGUAGGCGGAUUAAUAAGUCAGAUGUGAAAGCCAAUGGCUCAACCAUUGAACUGCAUUUGAAACUGUUAAUCUAGAAUAUGGGAGAGGUAGAUGGAAUUUCUGGUGUAGGGGUAAAAUCCGUAGAGAUCAGAAGGAAUACCGAUUGCGAAGGCGAUCUACUGGAACAUUAUUGACGCUGAGACGCGAAAGCGUGGGGAGCAAACAGGAUUAGAUACCCGAGUAGUC